UACCUGCAGCCCGAGUGGUGAUCGAUAUUAUUGAGCCUAAAGCGUCCGUAGCCGGACCAGUAAACUCUUGGGUAAAUUGGGCAGCUUAACUGUCCGAAUUCCGAGAGGACUGCUGGUCUUGGAACCGGGAGAGGUCAGAGGUACUCCAGGGGUAGGGGCUAAAUCCUGUAAUCCUUGGGGGACCACCAGUGGCGAAGGCGUCUGACUAGAACGGAUUCGACGGUAAGGGACGAAACCCUGGGGCGCAAACCGGAUUAGAUACCCGGGUAGUCCAGGGCGUAAACGCUGCAGGCUUGGUGUUGGGGGUCCUACGAGGGCGCCCAGUGCCGGAGUGAAGAUGUUAAGCCUGCCGCUUGGGGAGUACGUCCGCAAGGAUGAAACUUAAAGGAAUUGGCGGGAGAGCACAGCAACGGGAGGAGCGUGCGGUC
rnacentral:rRNA from 1 species